rnacentral:rRNA from 1 species
UACAGGGGGUGCAAACGUUGCUCGGAAUCAUUGGGCGUAAAGCGCACGUAGGCGGUCUGUUAUGUCGGGAUGUGAAAGCCCUCGGCUCAACUGAGGAAGUGCAUCCGAAACUGGCAGGCUAGAGUACUAAAGAGGGUCGCGGAAUUCCCGGUGUAGAGGUGAAAUUCGUAGAUAUCGGGAGGAACACCGGUGGCGAAGGCGGCGACCUGGGUAGAUACUGACGCUGAGGUGCGAAAGCGUGGGGAGCAAACAGG